UAAAAUUUGUCCUAUUCGCGAUUCAAGGCUCCAACAUGUAUAAUUCUUAAAUUAGAGUAUAUUUUUAAACAAUUUUUAUGGGGGAUGUGAGGAGGAGAGAAAAAUCAACUGGGUUAGUUGGGAUAAGGUUUGUAAACCUAUAGUAGAUGGUGGGUUGGGAAUUCGAAAUUUGAGAGCUUUCAAUGAAGCCUUAUUAGGCAAGUGGGCAUGGAAAGUAAAAAAAAUAAAAGAGGGGUGUGUGGUUUAAAGUUUUGGUUAAUAUAUAUGGUGAGUGUAAUGAUGGAGUUGAUUCAGGGGGGAGUGAGAGUUCGGUUUGGUGGAGGGAUAUUAAUCAAUUCGAUAUAGCCAACCUGAGUCAGCAAGGGGAAUAUUCUGUUAGCGAGGUGUAUGAAGGUUUAGUGUCGUCUUCUCAUAGUAAUUUGAAUAAUCCUUUGGAUUAUGUGUGGAAUAAGACGAUUCCUUCAAAAGUGGCAGGGCGGGUUUGGAGAAUGCUUCAAGAUAAAAUUCCAACAGUAAACAAUUUAAUAAGAAGAAGGGUGAUUGACCAUAGGCUGGGCAGUUGUGUCAGAGAGUGAAGGGGGGGGGGAAUCGGUAUCUCAUUUGUUUUUCGAGUGCACUGUGUUUGCAGGGUUGUGGAGUCUCAUUCUUAGGUGGCUGGGAGUGAAGACAACUUUGCAAUCCAACAGGUGGCAUCAUAUGGUUCAAUUCGAAGGAUUACUCUAUCGAGACAAAACGACAUCGUCUAAGCUGGAAGCUAUUUGGUUCGCUUGCGUAUGGACUAUUUGAAAGGCUAGAAAUGAAAAGAUGUUCCAAGACAGGGGAAUAAAUCUAGAAAACAUGGCGGAAGAGGUGAAGUUGUUAUCAUGGAAAUGUCUUAAUAUCAAGUUUGGCUCGAUAUUAAAUAACACUUCGCAAUGGUUCACGAAUCCUAUAGCUUGUUUGGGUUUUAUUGAGGAUUGAUUGUUGUAGGCGAGUUCAGUCGGAUCUUGUUUAUUGUUCUGUUGUGGUUCCUUUUACUGUUGUUUCGGAGGCUCAUAUUCCUGUCUGUGAUUUAUCGUAUUUGCUGAGUUGCUUGGUUCCAUUUUGAGCAUUCUAUUCUAGUCUGGAAGCAAGGAUGGUUCGGUGGGCAUCAUUAAGAAUGUCGUUUUUUUCUAUAAAGGAUGUUUGCUGUUUGGUUGUAUUCUUUGACCGAUUUCGAAUCUGAAUCGGGUGAGCAACUGUGGUGAGGAAUUCUUUUUCAUUGAGAGUAUGUGUGUUUGUUGUAUUUUUUGGUGCUAGUUCUGUUAUAGUGGUUGGUGUUGGGCUGCUAGUGGAGUAUUUAACUAGUUUGUUUGUAUCAGUGGGGUGUAAUUCUGUAAUUAGUUUUCUGGUGCAUAUUGUGCCUAUUAUGAUACUGUAAUGUACUCCCUCGGCCUUAUUUAUAAGCAAAGAUUCAUUUUUUAGAUUUAUUGAGUAAUGAAUGUAUCUGAUCUAUUAUAUAUACUAAAUACAUUCAUUACUCAAUGAACCUAAAAAAUGAAUCUUUGUUUAUAAAUAAGGCCAGAGAGUACUUGUUUACUUUUCUCCUAGCAUGUCUCAUGCUGGAGUCUUUUACUUAAUAUAUCAUCUUUUAGUUUUUUUUUUAAAAAAAAAAAUUAGCCUUUUAAUGGACUUGUUUAAGUUUUGGGCCUAAGGGAAAUUGGUCCAGUUUUUUUUCCUUAGCACAGACCAAGAAAGUGAGAACAAAGAGUUCCCAUACAAUUUUCCUUCAGAAUAAAACGCUCUCUCUUUUAUCUGUGUUCCAAACCCUAGCCGCCGCUACCUCUCUCCUCUUUUCCAAAACAAAUAACUAACACCAUCUUCCUUCAUAAUAAACCGUUUAGAUUCUCCGUUCGAAGAACAUAACCGUCUUCCUUCGCAUUCUCCAUCUUACUUCGUAUGUCUUUGAUGUAUUUAGAAGUACUGUUUCUGUGUUAAUAUGUUUUGAAUCAUUGCUGGUUUUGAUGUAAACAUUCAAAAUCAUAGCUUUUAUUUUCUCCCUUUUAAAAUCCAAUUAUAGAUCGAGUUUAUCGCUGGAACGGUAAAGUUUACUUUAUCCAUGGGGAAAUUUCUUUUCCAAAAGUUUCUGGAUUUCUAUAAAUCACUAAUCUUUACUUCAACAAUUCACUUUUGUUAUUUGUGUCCAAAAAAAAUUCACUUUUGCAAAACCUAUGGAUUUGUAUAUACUGAAAACAUUCUUUAUUCUUUUUUAAAUUUGGAAACAUAAAUAGCAUAAUUUUAAUUUGAUUAGAGUUGUAAAUAUGGAAAUUAAAGAAGAAAAUUAAAUAUGGUUAUUUUAUUGGGAAUUAAUAUUUUCCGGUCGGUUAUAAAUGAUUGAAUUAAGGCUAAAGUUCUAUAUAUGACUUUGAAUAGAAUAAUUUCUAUAAAUGAUUGAAAUUAAAUGAUGACAUUUUAAUUUCUUACACAAGAUUCAAAUUUCAAGAUUAGUAUGACUUGUGAAUAGAACAAUUCUUCCUAAAUAAAAGUGUUAAAGUAUACUAAGUAGUCCAAACUAGAUUUUUCAAAUCACCAUGGAAAGGCUUCCAAAAAUGUUGUGCUGGUGGAGCCAUAGUUCAUCCACCUCCAGAAUUCCCAACUCUAAAUUCCUCCGAGCAAGUCUAUAUCUCAUCCCUCCCUCUUCUCAAGAUGCUCAAACACGGUAGGGUUGGUGCUCCCAUGAUGUGGUUAUGGGUUUGAUGCUUGGAGAAUUCGUGGAUGAGUACACUGUCUGUAUGGUAUGUGUUUGCAAUGCCACAUAGUGGAAUUGGUAAGUGUUUUUUUUAGACUAAUAUGCUCAAACAAACGGGAUGGUAUUUUGUUUUGUUUUUUUAAAGUUUAUUUAUUAUGUGUUCUUUGUGUAUGGUUAAAUUCGAGAAUUUGUUUGUGUUUGUUAUUGAUUGUGUUUUGCAAACCAGAGAUGGUUGUUGGAUGGUAUCAUUCAUAUUCUGGACUUAGAUGUUGGUUGUUUGGUGUUGACAUCAAUACACAACAGGUUCUACUACAGUCCUUUUGUUUUAUGUCUUGUUUAUGUAUAUGUUUGGAUCGGUGAUAUGUGAUGAAUGAAAUAGAGUGGAGUGAUCGGUAAUCAUAUUCCAUUGUUUAGAGUUUUUGAAUGAUAGAUGAAGCGAGAUGGAGCAUGAUAGAUUCCUCUCCAUCCAAUCCUUCAAUUUUCAUUCUGUUCAAUUUGGGUUGUAUUCAAUUGAAUGAACUAUAUAGUUAUGUUUCAUUCCAUUAAAUAAUAAAAAAUACCCAAAUAAUAGAAUGGUAUAUCUGAUCCAUUCUGCCCCGUACUAAAAUCUGUUAAGUUCCAUUUUUCUUCUCUGUUCUACUCCAUCAAUCCGAACAUAGUUUAAAUUUCCCAAUACAAUUGCUAUAAUUCUUAAUAUAAAUUGUGUUUAUUAAUUUAGCAUGCAUUGAUUUACUCUUGUAGAACAAAUACACUUAUGUGAUUUCGCUAAUAUUUCAUCGUUUUAAUCAAUAGUCUAAUGACUCAUCAGUCAUCACUUCGACUGAGUUAAUGAUUGUAUUUUUUGAUAAACAUAAACUAAUAUUAAUUAAUGGAUCUUGAAAGAUAGAACAAAUCAAUCGUCUAGUAGCCAUGUGAUUUGAGAAUAUUAUUUUUAACAUUUCCAUUUAUUCUCUAGUUUGCAAUUUAUUUGGUCUACAUGUGCGUUUUACACGCUUCAAAAAGGACACAUGCCAUCUCCCCUUCUUUUUUAUAUGAUAGAUAAUUGUCUUAGUUUGUGCUUCCAAAGAUGAAUUGAUAUAAUUAUAGGUAGCACUUUGAACUAUUUAAUUAUUAUUAUCUAAAAUUUGCAAAAUUAAAGAUGAGGUUAGUUAGUGGGGGCUAAAAUAAAUUCUCUUUACCUCCCCCUCUCAAUAGCUACCCAACCCGUUAGCUACUCAUCAUGUUCACUAGUUAAAGAAAACGUUCAUAUUUUUUUUCCCCUUUGUCUGAUUUCCAUAACCUCAUCUUGUUGAUAUAUUUACAUAACCAUUGCAACUGUUUCACUAGAGUUUUUAAUUUUUGUUUUCUUCACCUUAUUUUCUGUUAAGGCAAAUACAUUUGAUUGAUUACUAUGCUAAUGCCCACUGACUUCCAUUAUUCUUCUCUGUCGAAAAAAUUCAUAACUAUUUAGAGAUCGCUAUCGUAUCCAGACAACUAUAGCACUUUUAGUGCAACUAGGUAAUUAUAAAACUUUUAUUUGUCAUUUUGUUUUGUUUUUUAGUUUUACUAUUUUUUUUAGAUGUUUGUUGAUUUUAAGAGUUUGAUGGCAACUUCAUGGCUGUUUUUUAGUAUAUGACCAAUUUAAAUUUUUGGAACUAUGAGUGGUUAAAACACGGUACAUGUUCCGGAGAGCAUGAAGAUCAUAGAGUAAGGUAUUAUGAAGAUCAUAGAGUAAGGUAUUAGGAUUGUUCCAUAUACCUUACCUUAUGUUUUCCAGAGUAAGGUAUUAGGAUUGUUCCAUAUACCUUACCUUAUGUUUUCCAAAGCAAGUACCGUGUUUUAGUCAUUGGUAGUUCCACAAAUUACGAUUGGUCAUACGCCAUUGAUAGUUCCAGCCAUUCAAGCCUCUAACUCAGUAGAAAUCUAAAAAAUAGUAAAAUAAAAUAAAAUGAUAACUAAAAGUGUUAUCAUUACUUGGUUGUGGUAGACUUCUAAAUAGCUCUUAAUCUAUAUUUUGUUUCCCACAAAAUUUCUGACAUAGAUGAAAAAAAGGUAAAAUACCAAGCCAAGGUGAUCAUUGUAGUUAAUACUUGUUAGGGUUAUGUUAGGUUCCUUUUAUUUGGCUCAGGAGAGUUUACCAACUAAUGUGGUUAUGUCUACAUAGGUUUUUGCAAAUUUCUCUAACUUGUGUUUGCUUAAUUUCAUUGUUAAAUUUAGAAUUUUGAAACUAUUUAUUUUUAAUUUAUAGUUUUGUUGCAUAGAAUUUCUAAUACCUUUGUGUCAUGUUCAAAUGGAAAACUAGAGCACAAACUUGCAAGUGAUGGCUGUAAAAGUUAUGAAGCACGAAUACUUUAAAAACUAGGUCAUAUAUAGUAUCCGAUAUGCUCCGAAACUGCGUUGAUACGUAUCGAAGGAGUAUAUGGUUUUUUAUUUUAAUGACUAUUUUUUUAAUGGUCAUUUUUAAUACCCUAUUUAAUUCCUUUCAGAAACCUGCCAUUUUUCAAGAAUAGUUUAAUUUCUCAUAAUUUAUUACUACCAAUUAUUAAUAUUUUAAAAUUAAUUCAUAUUAAAUAUAAUUUUAUUUUUAUGUAUCAUUACUUUUAUUUUUUACAAGGAAGUUCUAGUUUCAAUAUUAUAACUUGCAACCUCUUUUUCUACAACGAUUAUUUUUUUCUUCUUCAUAAUGCCUUCAUAUUUUUUCAUUAAAAACAUUUUUUAUCAUAAUAUAGGUAUCACUUUAAUAUUUUCCGACUAUAUAGUAACCUAUUAAAAAUUUCAUUGAGCUUGGUUUUAUUAGACUAUAUAUAGUCGGAAAAGGAAAGGUAGUCAGCGUAAGAAUCUUCUAAUUGUAAGGUACACAAUUUUGUUUAAUUUGGGGAGGGGUGGGGGCAAUUGAACUUGGUUCUUUAUGUUGAAAGGAAAGGUAGUCAGCACAAGAAUCUUCCAAUUAUAAGGUACACAAUUUUGUUUAUUUUGGGGAGGAGUGGGGGCAAUUGAACUUGGUUCUUUAUGUUGAGAUGUGUUAUGAAAGUAAUUGGGAAGAUUUGAUGAGUGGAUUUGACGUUAGAUGUUAGAUAAAAUAUUGUGGGUUAUCUUAGUUGGCAAGAGAUAUAGUUAGAAAAAUGGACGGUGAAAUAGGCCUACCAAUACAAAAAUAUCAUUAGUCAGUGGGGAAGAAAGGAGUUAUACCCUACUCAUAAAACUAGUUUGGUUGCAUAGAAUUUGAAUAUCUAUCAUAUAAGAAAAGUCUACCAUUUCUUCAUCUCUUAGCUAUGCCACAUCAGCCUCUCUUCUCACAAAAUUCCACAUCAUUCCUUUUCCAUUGUAGGAUUGAACUUUAAACCUCCAACCUCUCAUGAUCUCGCAGUUACAAAUUAUUUACUUUCUCUGGCCAUUCACAUUCACAACUGCUUACAGCACUAAUGACCUCAUAUAAUGCUUCUGCCUUCCAAGCCCUCCACCUUCCACGUUCCAAAACACUUUUAUCAUUACUAUAUAUAACCAUCAUACUUUCACAGUAUCUAUCAUGUUCAUCAAACCUAAUCGUGGAGAAUUUUGGUUUAUACUAUUUUUGCAAUUACAGCCAUUCCCACGACUAUUCAUGUGGAAAGUUUUGGUUUAUACUAUUUUUGCAAUUACAGCCAUUCCCACGACUAUUCAUGGACAAACUGGAAUUUAACAUUUUUUUCUUUCUUUUCUGGAUAGAAAAUAUCUUUCAUGUUAUUUGCAGGUUGAAUUUGUAGUGUAUCAUUCUGAAGUACUAAUUGGCGUUUCAUGUUAUUUGUAGGUUGAAUUUGUAAUGUAUCAUUCUGAAGUACCAAUUGGCGUCACUCCAUAGUAUAUGACAGUAGAAAACAUCGUCUAUAGGAUUCGUUUGAAAUAAAUAUUCUUCUUUGACUGUCCCGAAAGUUUGAGCUGUAGAAGUAGAAAUAUUCUUCUUUGACUGUCCCGAAAGUUUGAGCUGUAGAAGUAGAAAUCAAGUUGGCUGGUGUCAAUAUACAAUGGAGAAUCUGCUUGAAAUUACUGGGUUAUGCUUGCGCAAGUUUUGUCAAAAAUGUAGAUAUUAUACUAUGUAAAUAACAUGAUAUUUUAUAUUAAUUCAUAGAAUGAACUUUAAUUUUUUUAUAUUUUAAGUGCAAAUAUUAAAAAAUAAAUCUUAAUUGAUUGAUUUUAUG